GAUGUGAAGACAACUGAUAACUACACUUUGAGGAUGUUCUGCAUCGGGUUUACCAAGAGACGACCAAACCAGGUCAAGAGGACUUGUUAUGCACAAUCCAGCCAGAUAAGACAGAUUCGUAGGAAAAUGAGGGAGAUCAUGAUUGCCCAAGCGUCAUCUUCUGAUCUCAAGGAUUUGGUCCGCAAGUUCAUUCCUGAGAUAAUUGGCAAAGAGAUUGAAAAGGCAACUUCAAGUAUCUACCCUUUACAAAAUGUCUUCAUUAGAAAAGUAAAGAUUUUGAAAGCUCCGAAGUUUGAUCUUGGAAAACUGAUGGAGG
rnacentral:misc_RNA from 1 species